rnacentral:rRNA from 1 species
AACAGGAUUAGAUACCCUGGUAGUCCACGCCGUAAACGAUGUCGACUUGGAGGUUGUUCCCUUGAGGAGUGGCUUCCGGAGCUAACGCGUUAAGUCGACCGCCUGGGGAGUACGGCCGCAAGGUUAAAACUCAAAUGAAUUGACGGGGGCCCGCACAAGCGGUGGAGCAUGUGGUUUAAUUCGAUGCAACGCGAAGAACCUUACCUACUCUUGACAUCCAGAGAACUUAGCAGAGAUGCUUUGGUGCCUUCGGGAACUCUGAGACAGGUGCUGCAUGGCUGUCGUCAGCUCGUGUUGUGAAAUGUUGGGUUAAGUCCCGCAACGAGCGCAACCCUUAUCCUUUGUUGCCAGCGGUUCGGCCGGGAACUCAAAGGAGACUGCCAGUGAUAAACUGGAGGAAGGUGGGGAUGACGUCAAGUCAUCAUGGCCCUUACGAGUAGGGCUACACACGUGCUACAAUGGCGCAUACAAAGAGAAGCGACCUCGCGAGAGCAAGCGGACCUCAUAAAGUGCGUCGUAGUCCGGAUCGGAGUCUGCAACUCGACUCCGUGAAGUCGGAAUCGCUAGUAAUCGUAGAUCAGAAUGCUGCGGUGAAUACGUUCCCGGGCCUUGUACACACCGCCCGUCACACCAUGGGAGUGGGUUGCAAAAGAAGUAGGUAGCUUAACCUUCGGGAGGGCGCUUACCACUUUGUGAUUCAUGACUGGGGUGAAGUCGUAACAAGGUAACC